rnacentral:lncRNA from 1 species
UGGGCGUUCGGGUACCCGUUCGGGUUCGGAUCGGGUAUUUCGGAUUUUCGGGUAUUUCGGUAUAGAGGUCUAGAACCCGUUCGGGUAUUUCUGUACUUCGGGUCGGGUUCGGGUAUUUUUAGUUCGGAUUCGGUUAUUUCGGAUCGGGUUCGGAUAUUUAGAUUUUGAAAAAAAAAAUUAAAAUUUUCAUUUCUCAAGUUUAUUGUAUUUAAAAAUAUAACUUUUAGUUAACUAUUUUUUUAUUUUUAAUAGAUUGAAUGGUUAAUAGAUUUGGACAUAACAUUUUAAAACUAAAAAGACACUAAUUUAGUUAUUUUUUUUUUAAUUUUGGAUAUAACUUUUUGUUAAUUUUUGAAAUAAAAAACUUGACAUGCAUUUUAAGUGAGUAGCAAAUCAUUUUUUCCGUAAUUGUAUGUAUAUCAUAUGAACUUAAAUUAUGUGUAGUAUCAAUAUAAAUAUUUUAUAUAAAAUGAGAGAUAUAAACUAGAAACAUAAGGUUAAUUAUACAUAUGUUCGGUUAUCUUCGGAUAUCCAUUCGGGUUCGGGUAUUAUCCGUUCGGGUUCGGGUAUCCAAUCUCUCCUUAUUCAAUACCCGUUCGGGUAUUUUGCUACUUCGGUUCGGAUUUCGGUUCGGUUUUUUCGGAUCGGGUUCGGGUGCCACUUCGGAUAUCGGAUAAAGUGCCCACCCCUAGGUGUGUCUUUCAGUUUGUGUUCCACACUAAAAUUGCUUUAAGCCCAUUUGUAAAACUAAACCCAUUAGUAAAAUUUAACCCAUUUGUAAAAUUAUACAGAUGAUUGUUUCCAACUUAAUUAUAUGGGCCUAUUUCGAUGAAGAGCCUCACAUCGGUUGACUACAUGGUUUAUGAUCGUUCUCUGCACUCAAAACGGAUUUCUUUACAAAGGUUACAGUUAGAGUUCAGGGAUUAUUACGUUCUUUUUUUCUUUUCUUUUUUUGUAACUGGAAUAUUACGUUCUUUCCAAGAAUUGGUUUCUAUAUUAUGUCUGUAUGUCUUAAGUCUUAACUAUUGUGAACGUAAAAAUCUGUAAAACAAAUAAAAUAAAUCCUGAUAAAUUUGAAUUUAUAAUUAAUAUGAGAUCUGAUUCAAAAUACGGUUGUGUGCAUGACAAAGAAUAUAAUCUGAAAGGAAAGUGAACGUAGAGAAGAGAACAAAGUAAUCUUAAAUCGUGAUAGUUUUGUUGUUAUUCUUGAACAGGCCAAAGUCUUCAACAAUUGCGACGAUUAGGAGUUUUUUUUCUUUUCUUUUGUCGUUGUUGUUGAAGAGGCAAAGGCUUCGACGUUUAGGAGUCUUUUUGUUGUUUUGUUUUGUCGACUAUUAGGAGAUUAAUUUCGACUAUAUAACCAGUAUAAUUUUAAAUCGAAUAUUUAUCUAACAUAUUCACUGUAAUACCCAACUUACUAAAGCAUGACACGUUUACACGUAAGUAGAUAAGUGGGAUCUACUUAUAACACAUAACGUCUUUUCCGAGUCUCGUAGGGGCGUGGAUCCCCUGACUUGUUUAAAUAAUUCGUUUAAAAGUAAGCUACGUAAUUAUUAUACUAAUUUGCUGGGUAAUCUUUCUUUUUCUUUAUCGAGAAUCUCUUCUCAAAUAAUUCUUAAAGCACUCGAUAUCUCUACCAAAGAAUCAGAUCUAGAAAAAUAUGUGUUUAUAUGAUUUGCUUUAGCUUGCCAAUAUAAGACUAUGAAUAUGGCAAUUUUACUUUGACGUAAUUAAUUAAUACGGUUUUUUGGAAAAUUAUUCUAAGAAUAUAUAAAGACUAAAGUGCCUAGUUAAUUUACAUGGUCGUAUGACGAAAACAAUGACCCAAAACGUCUUCUCAAUCAACACUCUGCAGGCUGCAUGUAUGAAUAAUGUGUCUACAUGAGCACAUAUCAAAUGUAUAAUAGUCAUGGUAUUAAUACUAUAAAAUCCAUUAACAAAAAUACGAUUGCAUAAUAAAUCAGAUAUGGUCCAUCACUGGAGCUAGGCCUGGGCAUAAUAUCCAUAAUCCGAAAUCCAAACCGGAUCCGAACCGAAAAACCCGAUCUAUAUCCGGUAUGAAAUGUAAAAAAUAUCCGAAUGGGUCUUGUAAGGUGGUACAAAACAUAUCCGAACCCGAAGUGUUAUUAACCGAACCGAACGAGUAACCCGAAAAACCAAAAAAAAAACCAAAAAAUCCGAAAAAAUAUCCGAUAAAACCGAUCCGAAUAUCCAAAAUAAUAUACAAUAUAAUUAUAUGAAACAUGAAUAUAUACUUCAAAUAUUCAAUCUCAUAUUUAUCUUGAUAUGUUAUCUAACAAUAAGUAUUUAAAAUUUAAAUAACUACCUUAAAUACUUAAUUAUAUAUAAAUAAAUAUAUAUUUCUUAUGUUUUACUUUUAAAUUUUAGAUUUUAUUUCUGGUAUAUCCGAACCGAUCCGAUAUAACCCAAAUCCUAAUGAUAUAUAAUUAUUUUCUGGGUUCUAUGAUGUGAUAGAAAACUGACCUGAACCUAAUAUGUUAUAUCUGAACCCGACUCAUACUUACAAAUUUAUUAGAAACCGAAAUCUGAAAAAACCCGACUCGAACGCCAAC